rfam:Megamonas funiformis YIT 11815 genomic scaffold supercont1.4, whole genome shotgun sequence.
UCUGGUGACGAUGCCUAAAUGGUUCCACCUGUACCCAUACCGAACACAGUAGUUAAGCAUUUAGAGGCCAAAAGUACUUGCAUGGAGACGUGCUGGGAGGAUAGGAAGUUGCCAGUU